rnacentral:rRNA from 1 species
GACGAACGCUGGCGGCGUGCUUAACACAUGCAAGUCGAACGGAAAGGCCCCCUUGUGGGGUACUCGAGUGGCGAACGGGUGAGUAACACGUGAGUAACCUACCCUUUACUUUGGGAUAACUUCAGGAAACUGGGGCUAAUACCGGAUAGGAGCUCCUGCUGCAUGGUGGGGGUUGGAAAGUUUCGGCGGUUGGGGAUGGACUCGCGGCUUAUCAGCUUGUUGGUGGGGUAGUGGCUCACCAAGGCUUUGACGGGUAGCCGGCCUGAGAGGGUGACCGGCCACAUUGGGACUGAGAUACGGCCCAGACUCCUACGGGAGGCAGCAGUGGGGAAUAUUGCACAAUGGGCGGAAGCCUGAUGAAGCAACGCCGCGUGCGGGAUGACGGCCUUCGGGUUGUAAACCGCUUUCGCCUGUGACGAAGCGUGAGUGACGGUAAUGGGUAAAGAAGCACCGGCUAACUACGUG